rnacentral:rRNA from 1 species
CAAUAGCGUAUAUUUAAGUUGUUGCAGUUAAAAAGCUCGUAGUCGGAUUUUGGCUGAGAACGAUCGGACCGCCGUUAGGUGUGCACUGAUUGGUCUCAGCUUCCUGGUGAGGAGGUGUGCUUCACGGCCACUUAGUCACCGUGGUUACUUUGAAAAAAUUAGAGUGUUCAAAGCGGGCUUACGCUUGAAUAUAUUAGCAUGGAAUAACACCAUAGGACUCCUGUCCUAUUUCGUUGGUCACGGGACGGGAGUAAUGAUUAAGAGGAACAGUUGGGGGCAUUCGUAUUUCAUUGUCAGAGGUGAAAUUCUUGGAUUUAUGAAAGACGAACUUCUGCGAAAGCAUUUGCCAAGGAUGUUUUCAUUGA